rnacentral:rRNA from 1 species
UACAGAGGUCUCAAGCGUUGUUCGGAUUCAUUGGGCGUAAAGGGUGCGUAGGCGGCGCGGUAAGUCGGGUGUGAAAUCUCGGAGCUUAACUCCGAAACUGCAUUCGAUACUGCCGUGCUUGAGGACUGGAGAGGAGACUGGAAUUUACGGUAUAGCGGUGAAAUGCGUAGAUAUCGUAAGGAAGACCAGUGGCGAAGGCGGGUCUCUGGACAGUUCCUGACGCUGAGGCACGAAGGUCAGGGGAGCAAAACGGGG